rnacentral:lncRNA from 1 species
UUAGGCGCCACUACGUGUGGUUAGUCCCCAGCUUAAUCGUCAGCUGGGGAAUUCCCGCCGCCAGCCUUUACGUUGACCCAGAAAAAAGGGCGCGAAGGGGAAGGGGAGAGAUUUCCCUCCCGGCCCCACUGAGAUACGGGCAUAUAUUGUGGAUACUCGGACGAUUCGGUGAUUGCGAUAUUUUGCAGAGCGAGUAAGGAGGCGAACUGGGGGGGCGCGCGAAGACACCGAUCCAACGGCGGCGAUCAGGAUCCGCCGUGCCGCUCGCCCCCGAUCCGACGUCUCCCAUCGAGCCGACUCGGAGCCGGACCCAG